rnacentral:rRNA from 1 species
UACGGGGGGGGCAAGCGUUGUUCGGAAUUACUGGGCGUAAAGGGCUCGUAGGCGGCCAACUAAGUCAGACGUGAAAUCCCUCGGCUUAACCGGGGAACUGCGUCUGAUACUGGAUGGCUUGAGAUUGGGAGAGGGAUGCGGAAUUCCAGGUGUAGCGGUGAAAUGCGUAGAUAUCUGGAGGAACACCGGUGGCGAAGGCGGCUUACUGGGUCUUUUCUGACGCUGAGGCACGAAAGCCAGGGGAGCGAACGGG